ACUUCCCACAAGCACGUCCCUGUUCUCACUGCUGUCCUUGCCUUGGUUUCAUUUAAGAGAUGCCUGGACUGAGCGACUGAGGACAGCCUUGGGGGGUGGGGGGCAGUGGUGGGCAGGCCACGGAACAGCCAGCAUUUAUGGGGCUUGUACUCUCCGUCAGACCUGGGGCGGGCUGUAUACAUGUAGUCGUUCAUCAUCAUGCCUGGAUUAUCUCCAUUUUACAGAUGAGGAAACUGAGGCUCCGACAUGAUCAGUGAGACAGAGGAAGGUCACACUGCUCGUGGAUUGCUAGCCCGCGGUGGAGGGAUUCACCCAGAGAAAUCUGUGAAUUUCUUGAGCCAGGAAGUGAGACAAGCAAUCACCAGCAUAGCAAGCAUGAAGUUACAAAGGUUCUAGAACCGAACGAACUGAGCUCAUACCACCGUCCCUGGUGGGUGGUCCCGGACUCACUCUGAGAAGAUGAACCAGCUCAUGCAUGAAAGCCAAGGCUUGGAGGAAAACACAGUGAAAGGAAUUUGGGGAAAUGGAGCUGAGCUACUGGACCCAGCUGAUCCUGAAGCCUUCCUACAUCUGGAUGAGCAGAUCUGUGGAACGAUGGAGUUCUCCAUUGUUGAAGUGAGUUUGGGGUUUCUUAUGGCCAUAAGCCACCUAACUGAUGCAGCUCCCAAGACAUUGUCUGGUUUCACAACUGCAGAAAAAAAAUGAAAACGAGUAAAACCGCAGAAAAGUGGGAAAUAUUUUGCUGACAUGAAUGCUGGGAAAAAAUUUUAAAGCACAUUUUGAAGAAGAUUUUGUAACUGUAUCUAUGCUCGCACUCCUCUCCUGGUGAGUGUGAGUCACCAGUGCUAUGAGUGAUGGAAAAAUUCAAUCAAGGCAAAUUCAAUUAGGUUAGGAUGGUGGUUACAGCUAGUGUAUGUCACAAAUCCCUUCUUUUGACAUUUAAAGAAAGACUUUUGUUGAAAAGAAGAACGAGGCUUUCUUAAA